rnacentral:rRNA from 1 species
GGGGAAUAUUGGACAAUGGGCGCAAGCCUGAUCCAGCCAUGCCGCGUGAGUGAUGAAGGCCUUAGGGUUGUAAAGCUCUUUCAGUAGGGAAGAUAAUGACGGUACCUACAGAAGAAGCCCCGGCUAACUUCGUGCCAGCAGCCGCGGUAAUACGAAGGGGGCUAGCGUUGUUCGGAUUUACUGGGCGUAAAGCGCACGUAGGCGGAUUGGUCAGUUAGGGGUGAAAUCCUGGAGCUCAACUCCAGAACUGCCCUUAAUACUGCCAGUCUAGAGUCCGGAAGAGGUAAGUGGAACUCCUAGUGUAGAGGUGGAAUUCGUAGAUAUUAGGAAGAACACCAGUGGCGAAGGCGGCUUACUGGUCCGGCACUGACGCUGAGGUGCGAAAGCGUGGGGAGCAAAC